GCUCAGGAUGAACGCUAGCGGCAGGCCUAAUACAUGCAAGUCGAACGAGAUUAAGGGGCUUGCUCCUUAUGAAAGUGGCGCACGGGUGCGUAACGCGUAUGCAACCUACCUCAAUCAGGGGGAUAGCCCGAAGAAAUUCGGAUUAACACCGCAUAAAAACACAGGAUAGCAUUAUCUAAUGUUCAAAUAUUUAUAGGAUUGAGAUGGGCAUGCGUGUCAUUAGCUAGUUGGCGGGGUAACGGCCCACCAAGGCGACGAUGACUAGGGGAUCUGAGAGGAUGACCCCCCACACUGGUACUGAGACACGGACCAGACUCCUACGGGAGGCAGCAGUAAGGAAUAUUGGUCAAUGGAGGCAACUCUGAACCAGCCAUGCCGCGUGCAGGAAGACAGCCCUCUGGGUCGUAAACUGCUUUUAUUCGGGAAUAAACCUAUUUACGUGUAAAUAGC
rnacentral:rRNA from 1 species